rnacentral:rRNA from 1 species
GACGUAGGGCGCGAGCGUUUGUCCGGAUUUAUUGGGCGUAAAGAGCUCGUAGGCGGCUUGUCGCGUCGACUGUGAAAAACCCGCAGCUCAACUGUGGGCUUGCAGCUGAUACGGGCAGGCUUGGAGUUCGGUAGGGGAGGACUGGAAUUCCUGGAUGUAGCGGUGAAAUGCGCAGAUAGUCAAGGAGGGAACACCGGUGGGCGAAGGCGGGUCUCUGGGCCGAUACUGACGCUGGAGGAAGCGAAAGCGUGGGGAGCGAACAGG